rnacentral:rRNA from 1 species
AAUUUGCAGAGGAUGCUUCUGGCAAGGUGCCUUCCGAGUUCCCUGGAACGGGACGCCAUAGAGGGUGAGAGCCCCGUACGGUUGGACACCGAGCCGUUGUGUAGCUCCUUCAACGAGUCGAGUAGUUUGGGAAUGCUGCUCUAAAUGGGAGGUAUAUCUCUUCUAAAGCUAAAUACCGGCCAGAGACCGAUAGCGCACAAGUAGAGUGAUCGAAAGAUGAAAAGCACUUUGAAAAGAGAGUUAAAUAGCACGUGAAAUUGUUGAAAGGGAAGCGCUUAUGACCAGACUUGUGUCCGGUGAAUUAGCUGGCGUUCUCGCCAGUCGACUUUGCCGGCUCAGGCCAGCAUCGGUUUGCUAUUGGGGAGAAAAACGGUGGGAACGUGGCUCCCUCGGGAGUGUUAUAGCCCGCCGUAUAAUACCCUUUAGCAGACCGAGGACCGCGCAUCUGCAUGGAUGUUGGC